rnacentral:rRNA from 1 species
GUGGGGAAUCUUGCGCAAUGGGCGAAAGCCUGACGCAGCCAUGCCGCGUGAAUGAUGAAGGUCUUAGGAUUGUAAAAUUCUUUCACCGGGGACGAUAAUGACGGUACCCGGAGAAGAAGCUCCGGCUAACUUCGUGUCAGCAGCCGCGGUAAUACGAAGGGGGCUAGCGUUGCUCGGAAUUACUGGGCGUAAAGGGCGCGUAGGCGGACAGCUUAGUCAGAGGUGAAAGCCCAGGGCUCAACCUUGGAAUUGCCUUUGAUACUGACUGUCUUGAGUUUGGGAAAGAUGAGUGGAACUCCGAGUGUAGAGGUGAAAUUCGUAAAUAUUCGGCGGAACACCAGUGGCGAAGGCGACUCACUGGCCCGAUACUGACGCUGGGGCGCGAAAGCGUGGGGAGCAAACAGGAUUAGAAACCCCUGUAGUCC